rnacentral:rRNA from 1 species
CAAUCAUAGCCACGAACACCUCCUCUCUCUUCUCUAUCUUCUCACACCAUGCACAUCUCGCUGUCCACCACCGGCCGCCGGAGAAGAGCGGAAGACCGGCGAUUUGGGCGGCGCCCUGUGCAGGCAUGCUGUUCAGCCAGCCGCUCGCGACGCUGGCCAUGUUCAACCUCGAGCAUGGCAGUGGCCCGGACAUCUACGGCAUCUCGGAGAUCGACGGCUUCAACUUGCUAUGCGGCUCGCCGGCGUGAUGCGUGUGCGUUGUCCGGCGUUGUACGUACGUGUGUUGUGUUGGCAUGUUGAUGCAUGCAUGCUUGUGUACUGCCUAUUGAUGUGUGCGUGUGGCUUGGCCGGCGGUAUGUGCGUGCAUGCUUUGGAUUAGAAGCUCGCCGGCUGAUGUGUGUGUACUGACGAGAUGAGCAGCUAGACAACGACAGGUAGACCCGUCCGUCGUCUUGAGCCCCGCCCCUACCGCAAGCGCGACGAGCUCCGGUCAAGAGCGCCGCCGGCGGUGCCUUUUUUUUAUUUCUGUAAAAAAGCUUUAUCGAGUGCACCACUCGGACAAACAUUUGUGACUCCGGGCAAACUGACUGAUUUCCUCCGUUUUCGUUCUCCGUUAGUAGCUUUUUUUACCGAGUUUAAACCUUUGCCGAGCGCCAUGAAAACAAUCGGCAAACUUGUUGCCGAGUGUUCGACAAAUGGUUCUCGGCAAACUUCUGUUCGCCGGAAGGGGGUACGCCGGAUGUCCUUUGCCGAGUGCAACACCUCGGCUAAACCUUUGCCGAGUAUUUUUUGCCCUUUGCUGAGUUUUUCUGGCACUCGGUGAAGGCUUCCAGUACUGUGUAUUUUUUCUACUACUCAGUUCACUUUCUGAUCACUGUUUUUUCUCUCAUGUAGCUCAAAGACCGUCUGGUGCAUGCCCACAGGGAUUGAUGAAGGGGAUCGAUGGUGGUAGCUAGCUAGUGCGGCAAAUACUUCUCAGCCGCUGUAAUUUUCGGGAAGCACUAGGAAUCAGACUACUAUUCCUAGCCAACCAUCAGACUAGCAUGCAGCCGUUGGAUCACAACCUGGUGGACCGUUGGAUAGUACUGAGUUAUUUGGAUUUUGGAAGCAAGUUUGUUGAGAUAUGGAAGCACGUAAUAUAGGGAAACUAAGAAAUACCAGAUAUUUAGGAAACUAAUCGAGGAGUUUCAGGAAAAUAAUUAGCGGGGAAUUAAUGUAGCGUUGAGACUUUCCAAAAGCAUUUUUCUUCCUUAUGAAUCACAGUUUAUUUCCUUACGAAGCACUUCUUGUUUCUAGUAUUCCUUCAAAUUGCGUCGAGCAAAAACAAAAUGUGCUUCGAUCUAAAAGAGAC